UAACUGAAGAGUUUGAUCAUGGCUCAGAUUGAACGCUGGCGGCAGGCUUAACACAUGCAAGUCGAGCGGGGAAGGUAGCUUGCUACUGGACCUAGCGGCGGACAGGUGAGUAAUGCUUAGGAAUCUGCCUAUUGGUGGGGACAACAUCUCGAAAGGGAUGCUAAUACCGCAUACGUCCUACGGGGGAGAAAGCAGGGGAUCUUCGGACCUUGCGCUAAUAGAUGAGCCUAAGUCGGAUUAGCUGGUUGGUGGGGUAAAAGGCCUACCAAGGCGACGAUCUGUAGCGGGUCUGAGAGGAUGAUCCGCCACACUGGGACUGAGACACGGCCCAGACUCCUACGGGAGGCAGCAGUGGGGAAUAUUGGACAAUGGGGGAACCCUGAUCCAGCCAUGCCGCGUGUGUGAAGAAGGCCUUAUGGUUGUAAAAAGCACUUUAAGCGAGGAGGAGGCUACUUUAGUUAAUACCUAGAGAUAGUGGACGUUACUCGCAGAAUAAGCACCAGCUAACUCUGUGCCAGCAGCCGCGGUAAUACAGAGGGUGCGAGCGUUAAUCGGAUUUACUGGGCGUAAAGCGUGCGUAGGCGGCUUAUUAAGUCGGAUGUGAAAUCCCCGAGCUUAACUUGGGGAAUUGCAUUCGAUACUGGUGAGCUAGAGUAUGGGAGGGAUGGUAGAAUUCCAGGUGUAGCGGUGAAAUGCGUAGAGAUCUGGAGGAAUACCGAUGGCGAAGGCAGCCAUCUGGCCUAAUACUGACGCUGAGGUACGAAAGCAUGGGGAGCAAACAGGAUUAGAUACCCUGGUAGUCCAUGCCGUAAACGAUGUCUACUAGCCGUUGGGGCCUUUGAGGCUUUAGUGGCGCAGCUAACGCGAUAAGUAGACCGCCUGGGGAGUACGGUCGCAAGACUAAAACUCAAAUGAAUUGACGGGGGCCCGCACAAGCGGUGGAGCAUGUGGUUUAAUUCGAUGCAACGCGAAGAACCUUACCUGGCCUUGACAUACUAGAAACUUUCCAGAGAUGGAUUGGUGCCUUCGGGAAUCUAGAUACAGGUGCUGCAUGGCUGUCGUCAGCUCGUGUCGUGAGAUGUUGGGUUAAGUCCCGCAACAGGCGCAACCCUUUUCCUUACUUGCCAGCAUUUCGGAUGGGAACUUUAAGGAUACUGCCAGUGACAAACUGGAGGAAGGCGGGGACGACGUCAAGUCAUCAUAAGCCCCUUACGGCCGGGGCUACCAAUGCUACAAUGGUCGGUACAAAGGGGUUGCUACACAGCGAUGUGAUGCUAAUCUCAAAAGCCGAUCGUAGUCCGGAUUGGGUCUGCAACUCGACUCCAUGAAGUCGGAAUCGCUAGUAAUCGCGGAUCAGAAUGCCGCGGUGAAUACGUUCCCGGGCCUUGUACACACCGCCCGUCACACCAUGGGAGUUUGUUGCACCAGAAGUAGCUAGCCCUAACUGCAAAGGGGCGGUUACCACGGUGUGACCGAUGACUGGGGUGAAGUCGUAACAAGGUAGCCGUAGGGGAACCUGCGGCUGGAUCACCCUCCUU
rnacentral:rRNA from 1 species